GGCAGCUCUAUGAUACCCGGGGUGGGCAGGGUGGAUAUGGAACAUCAUGCCAUGCAAACUGAUGCUUGAGACACUGAAAUGCUCUUGAAAAUGAGUUGUUGUUUUGGCUUUAAAAACCAUAGAAGAGAUUCAGAUUGUCAUUAAACUGGGCACCUGGCAAUAUCAAAUGUCACAAGCCAUCUUCCCAAGGACAAAUAUCUUUGAUAUCUUUAAUGGGAUCUAAUAAUCAGAAAGCAUUGGUGAAAGAUUAAUAGAUCAUUUAGAAGGAUCACCUAGCAAGAGUAAAAAAUUCAUCUUGGAUGCUUAUAAGAGAUUUAAGGUGAAGUUACUCCCACUUCCUUUAAUAAGCAUUCAAUUAAGAAUGAAACCUAUGGUUGACCAAGUAAAUUGGAGGAAUGCAUUGUUUAACCUCUCUAUUCUAUGGAAACUUGCUUUCCAGGAAACUCAUUUACCCCAUCACAUGGCUUCAAAUACCACCAUGUGACAGUGAUGCGCUUGGAGUGACAUUACUGGAUCUGUUUCUCCUGUAUAAGCUGCUAAAGUUCAAAGUAUCAAGAAAGCCCGUGCUUCCGGAUAAAUACGUUUGAACAAACCACCCAGAGAAAAGUUACAUUUAAUUAAAUCAUGCCAAUUCUAAGCUCCUCAGAAAGGUGAGUCCUAAUCCGGUUUUAAGCAGUAAAACACAAUAUAAACUUAUAAGGACGUUUGCCCCCACACCACAAGCCGAUAAAAUGACGCAGUUAACUCUUGGUGGUGUUGUCACCAGUCAUUUGCAGUUUGUUCAUUCCCUCUGUUCUCUGUUAGCAUUUGAGAAGGAAACAAUGUUUUCAGGGGGAAAAAAAAUACCAGAAAAAGACUUUCACUCUUUAAUUCGAUUUUGAAUAAGAAUUACAUGGAACAGGUGAUUACUUGAUCUCAGAAACCAAGCGCUUGUGUCCCCUGAUGUGCAAACGUGUGUAUUCCCUGUGUGCCAAACACCACGUGCAGGGCUUCGAACAGUUGGACUUUGGAGACAGGUAGACCUGGGUCUGAUCCCAGCUCUGCCACACUUCUGCAAUGUGGUCUGAAAAAGUCACCCACCUCUCUAGGUCUCAAUUUCCUCUUUUAUAAAUGGGGAUGAUAAUAGUACCUGCCCCAUUAAGUUAGAUAAUUAAAUAAGCUCCAUGAUUAAAGUUCCUGGCACUCAACAGAUGUUGGCUAUCUUAAUCUUUAAAUUACCAGAGCCUAAAAGAUAUAUUUUUAUAAAGUUGUUUUUGUCUUUUUUUUUGUUUGUUUUUUGGUUUUUGUUUUUGUUUUUUUUUUUAAGAGGCAGAAACUGAGGCUUAGAGAAAUCAGGUAACAUAACGCCAGGUUACUCAGCUAAGGCAUGCAACCCCAGGGCAAACCCUCUGUUCCAGAUCCUUCCCCCUGGUUUCAGAACAGCAUGCAUAUCCUCUAUAUUGAGGUACAUUAUAUUCCUAUCUCCUUUGAUGAUCCAGUCCUUAGCCUUUGAAAAUAUACAUAUUGUCAGAUGAACCCAAAAGCCAGAGGUGAUUAGGAAGGAGUUGAAAAAGCUAGAUUAGAGGAUAAUGAUGAUGGAAUUAAACA
rnacentral:lncRNA from 1 species